rnacentral:snoRNA from 1 species
GGCCUCCCUCUCUUGGCGUUGUUGGGGGGGGGGGUCCCUUUUCUCCUCAGCCAAGGAUGGCAGUCAAGAUCAGCCCUUGAGGAUCAUGGUCAGGACCACCAUGAGCUAGGCAGCCCUGUUUUCCUGCCUCAGACAUUU